rnacentral:rRNA from 1 species
UACGGGGGGGGCAAGCGUUGUUCGGAAUUACUGGGCGUAAAGGGCUCGUAGGUGGCCAACUAAGUCAGACGUGAAAUCCCUCGGCUUAACCGGGGAACUGCGUCUGAUACUGGAUGGCUUGAGAUUGGGAGAGGGAUGCGGAAUUCCAGGUGUAGCGGUGAAAUGCGUAGAUAUCUGGAGGAACACCGGUGGCGAAGGCGGCAUCCUGGACCAACACUGACGCUGAGGGAGCGAAAGCCAGGGGAGCAAACGGG